rnacentral:misc_RNA from 1 species
AUGACAAAGUCCAUUUGCCAUUUGGGAUGGCUUUGAUAUAGUUAACUAAUGGCCAAAAGGCCAAAGUCAAUGGCGUUUUGGACCUAAAGACAAAAAGCCUCCUGUUAUGUGGAUUUGGCUUUCACUUGGGGGCAGCCCAAUCCAGUGGAAAAAAUCUCCAAUUGCCAAAAAGCCCAAAAAAAUGUGUUUCACUAAUUUCAAUUCGGUUAUUUCAAU